GCCCAACCCCGGGACUGCUCUGGAAACUGCCUGGCUGAAGUACAGGAGGGGCAGGCGGAAUUCCUGGUGUAGCGGUGAAAUGCGUAGAUAUCAGGAGGAACACCGGCGGCGAAGGCGGCCUGCUGGACUGAAACUGACGUUGAGGCUCGAAAGCGUGGGGAGCAAACAG
rnacentral:rRNA from 1 species